GAAAGAUGAUUCAGGAGUGCAAGUAUCUUCCCAUGGGAGAGUUUUUCUCCUUGGAGAGAAUCGAUGGGAAGAACCUUCAAGACUUGUUGCAACUCCUGGAGUCGACAGGACCAAGAACAAGGAUGGAACAACAAAAUGCCUUCAAUGUCGCGGGGAAGGUCAAUUGUUAUGUACGGGUAUGAAAUUUUGCUUAUAUUUUAAUGAAACUUCAGUAUCCUUUAGUAGGUUCAUAGUGCAUUGUUCUGGAAGACAACUUUCAUUGUUAAACUACAUUUAAUUUGAUAUAAGCUUCAAGAAGCAGUGCUGUUCAUAAAGGGUAACAUAUUGUAUUUUCUAGAACAGGUUUUUCUAAUCCUCGUGCUGAACUGGUAUUAGUUUUCUUCUGUACCCUUUGCCUUCUAUAUAUUCUUCUUUGGAGGAAUUGAUAACUUAGGUAUGCCUUUGUUUCUUCAUGCAUGCUUCACAUCAUAAGGAAACAACUUCUAACAUAGACUGCUAGGUUUAUGAUAAUAUUAAUCUGUAUUUGGAUCUCUUACAAUAACCAUUACAAAGGAAAUCAUAAGACCGAUUUUUGACAGAUUGGUAUGUGUAUUAUUUUUAUGAACACUUAUGAAAAUUUCUCAGUCAACUUCCAUUUCUUUUAUUGCAGAAUGUGACGGAUCAGGUGAACCAAAUAUUGAACCCCAAGUAAGGGAUAUUUAAAUUUUGUAAAGAAAAAUUACUUUUGUUCUUAUUUUCCUGAGUUGCACAAGCUUUUGAACUUACCAAUGAGUUCUCUAAUGCAGUUUAUGGAGUGGGUGGGUGAGACUACAAAAUGUCCAUAUUGUGAAGGCCUAGGCUAUACUCCAUGUGAUCUGUGUGGAGGGAAAGCUACAGUAUAAGUAUGACAUACAUUCUUCAGCUAUUCAUGCAUGUAUAUUGUUGUCAAUAUCAAUGCAUCACAAAAAUUGGUUGUUCCUGAAUGUUCUCAACUGGAAAAGAAAGUAAUUCCAUCUAACCCCAGAGUACAAUAGAGCAAUUAUCAAAACAGUGAAGCAUGUAUGUCAAUCAUCAAAACUGAGAUUGAAACAUAAGAUCAGAGAGGGCUUUGGAGCUUAGAGUGCUCAAUGAUAUUUUACAAGGAAACCUCAAAUUACCACAGAUUAUAAAUCGUUCAUGUGCUUCUAAACCUCCAAAAUGAAUGAGGCCCUAUGCCUCAGAGUCUACUCAAUCCUUUCUUUUCAGAACCACUUUGUUACACACCAGAAGACCAAUAAUUUAAUGUUCUAUUUGUGUACAUGCUUACCUAGUAGACUUUGUUACUCCUAACAUCUAUAAUCAAGACUUAUGUUGAGUUGUCAAGUUCUCUCUAGAUAUGAAUUUGCAGUCCAAACAAAACUUUCUAUCUAGUUUCUUUAUAAGAAAUAAAUUAAUUUAAGAACGUGUAACUCCACUCUUUUAUGUGAUAAGAUGCUUCUUCUGCGUUUUAAAACACAUGUUGGCUAUUUUAAAAUCAAAAGCUUAGAAGAAAUCUAGGAUAGUCCUAUCCUUUCAUAUUUGAUUCCAGUAUGUCAUAACCCCAUGAAAACAUUCAAAUGCUCUAAUGUCAUUCUCUUCAUGCCAUUAAGAUCCCUUCCUAAGAAACUCUAUUCUUCUAAAGGUAUUUCAUAGACUAUGCCUUCCAAAUCCUCCCAAAUUUUUAUCUUAUAAUAUUCCUCUAGCCAUAUCGGACUAAUCACAUUAAAGGAGGUGUCUUUUUUUGAUACAAACUUUAGGAUUAUGAUCCUAUUCUCCUAUUCUUUUUAUAUCCACCAUGAAAUCUAGGAUAAUCCUAUCCUUUCAUAGAUGAUCAAUUUUACGUUCUUCUUUCAUUCCCUAACUACAAUUUUAUCAAUCUUGUCUUACGGGAGGAAAUUCUGAGAUUUUCAAUUUUAUCAAUCCUAUCUCCUACAUAAAAUUCAAAGAUGAUCAAUUUUAUGUCAUUCUUUCAUCCCCUAUCUCCAAUUAUAUCUACAUAAAAUUCAGAGAUGAUCAAUUUUACGUCCUUCUUUCAUUCCCUAUCUACAAUUUUAUCAAUCUUACUGUACUACCACAACUUAAAAGUCUCAUUCAUGUGCCUUGUUCCCAACCUAUUUAGUUUCUUGUGGAUAUAUAAAAUUGAUCACUCUCCUAAUCAUUAUGUCUACUAUUUUUUAUUGAUUUACUUGUUCCUAUUCAUAUCGUAGAUCGUAAACUAGUUUCUUUACCUACACCUACUGAGUAGCCCUUACUUUUUUGAUAUUGUACUUAGAUGAUAUACCACAUUGCUUAUGGAUAAUGAAAAUGGACCCUCUCCAUUAUUGGAGGGUCCAGUAUCACAUAAGAUUGUGACAUGUAGACUUUAAAAAAAUUGAUAGUUCAUAUUUUAAAAUAUUUUUAGGCAAAAACUUACUAGAAAUGAUGAAAUAAAUAUGGGUCUCACAUUCCAGUAUUGGACCCUCCAGUACUGGAGAGGAUCCCGGGCUCAUGGAUAAUGGCCUAACAUUAUCACAUCGUCGAUCCAUAUCAGAGAUUCAACAAAGUUUUAUAUUAGUUGACUGCACAAUACAACUUCCACCUUUUAUCCUAACCUAACUCACACUGUUAGUGACAUUUUUUAUUUUUAAAUGGGUAAUAUUAAAAGGAAGAGUAAAUUACACGACACCCAUGAGUUUUAGCGAAAUUACACAAAUCACCCCUCAAUUUUUUACACCUACAUAAACCCUGCCAAUUUUUAUACUUUCAUUACACGGACCACCGCUUGAUAAAUAAGUGUAAUCUUUUAAACAAAAAUGUGAUAAAUGCAAUUAAGUCAAACAAAACAUGGUAUGGAAUUACAGGAAGUAGAAAAUGGAGCUGCAAUUGCUUCUGUGACAGAAAUUUCAGAGGGUCAGCAAAAAGUUGUGGUGAAAGAUGAUUCAGGAGUGCAAGUAUCUUCCCAUGGGAGAGUUUUUCUCCUUGGAGAGAAUCGAUGGGAAGAACCUUCAAGACUUGUUGCAACUCCUGGAGUCGACAGGACCAAGAACAAGGAUGGAACAACAAAAUGCCUUCAAUGUCGCGGGGAAGGUCAAUUGUUAUGUACGGGUAUGAAAUUUUGCUUAUAUUUUAAUGAAACUUCAGUAUCCUUUAGUAGGUUCAUAGUGCAUUGUUCUGGAAGACAACUUUCAUUGUUAAACUACAUUUAAUUUGAUAUAAGCUUCAAGAAGCAGUGCUGUUCAUAAAGGGUAACAUAUUGUAUUUUCUAGAACAGGUUUUUCUAAUCCUCGUGCUGAACUGGUAUUAGUUUUCUUCUGUACCCUUUGCCUUCUAUAUAUUCUUCUUUGGAGGAAUUGAUAACUUAGGUAUGCCUUUGUUUCUUCAUGCAUGCUUCACAUCAUAAGGAAACAACUUCUAACAUAGACUGCUAGGUUUAUGAUAAUAUUAAUCUGUAUUUGGAUCUCUUACAAUAACCAUUACAAAGGAAAUCAUAAGACCGAUUUUUGACAGAUUGGUAUGUGUAUUAUUUUUAUGAACACUUAUGAAAAUUUCUCAGUCAACUUCCAUUUCUUUUAUUGCAG
rnacentral:lncRNA from 1 species